rnacentral:rRNA from 1 species
CUCAUCCUACGGGACGCAGCAGUGGGGGAUAUUGCACAAUAGGGGAAACCCUGAUGCAGCGACGCCGCGUGAGUGAAGAAGUAUUUCGGUAUGUAAAGCUCUCUCAGCAGGGAAGAAAAUGACAGUACCUGACCAAGAAGCCCCAGCUAACUACGUGCCAGCAGCCGCGGUAAUACGUAGGGGGCAAGCGUUAUCCGGAUUUACUGGGUGUAAAGGGAGCGUAGACGGUUAUGUAAGUCUGGAGUGAAAGCCCGGGGCCCAACCCCGGGACUGCUUUGGACACUGUGUAACUGG